CUCCUUCGCCCACGCCGGUGACGGCUGGGGCGCCGUCCCUUACCCCAUCGCAGCCCCGGCGGUGCCCCCCGGGAUGCUCUCUGCCCAUUAAUCAUCAUUUUAUGUCGGCAACACCUUCGUGCUCACAGGAAGCCGUUGGCUGGGCAGAAAGGGGAAGGAAGGCAUUGCAAAUUCGGCUGCGAGGAGCUGCGGUGGAGGGCUCGGAGGGGCGGAGGGGAUGGAGGCGAGCGGAGCCGGCUGGAGGUGGCUCUGCGUCGCCGUGCUCGGCGCUGGGGCCGCACUCGCCCUCGAAGGAGAGGAGCUGUGGGACCAGAACAUCACCCAGCACGAUGACAACCCAGAGGCUAUGGGAGACCCCACCGCGGCCACCAGGGACGUGGAUGGGAUGCAGACGUGGCCUGUGGCCUCCCCGACCCCGCCUUUGACCAGGGACCCCCCCACCAUCACCACACCAACGCAAGCGGGCAGCCUGGGGAACCAAACCCAAAAUGGGUCGGGAGUUCCCGUCAAGUACUGGUCCCCUGUGAUCUUUGUGCUCCUUGCUCUGCUCGUGCUCUUCUUCACCUACCGGCGGACCAAGGGCGAAGGGACGCGGGACCCAGCCACCUCCAUCAGCGACUUCUCAGGGGGACAGGAAGGGGGCAGAGAAACCCCAAGCCCAGGAGCUGACCGAGACCACCUUCUGCCAGCCAGACCCCCCCCCAGGACAGCCNNNNNNNNNNNNNNNNNNNNNNNNNCCAGGGCACAAUUCUGGGCACGGUGUGCACCCAAAGCGCUGCGUGGGGAGGGUUUUAGGAUGCUCCUGAUGUGCCCUGGACCCCCAGGGAGGGUUUGUGCCCCCCCCUCCCCCCCAGCAUCUCCUUUUGCCUCUCCCUGACCUCAGCAGCCUGCUGUCCCUGAGGCCACCGGCGGUGCCCGCUGCUCCGGGGAGCCCGGUGCUGACUGAGGGCUGGCCGGGGGCAUCCGACGGCUUUUGGACAACCUGACGGAGCACGAGGCCACCCCAGGAUGACAAAUUCUGACAAGACACCCGGCGGGGGGGGAACACGUGGACGCUGGGGGAUGAGAGCAUCGUGUACCGCCCCGCUCCGCCCGAGGGAUGCUCCGGCGCGUCGCCAAAUCCCAGCGGGACAGGGACCCGCGGGGGACGGGGCUGGGCGCAGCGUGGCCGCGUGUGCCUUCACUGCCCCCAAAGACAGGGCUCGGGGUGGGGGGGCACGGCCGAGCCAAUAAAGCCGGGUUUCACCCCCCA
rnacentral:lncRNA from 1 species